rnacentral:rRNA from 1 species
UACGUAGGUGACAAGCGUUAUCCGGAAUUACUGGGCGUAAAGCGCACGCAGGCGGCAACUUAAGUCUGACGUAAAAUCUCCUGGCUUAACUGGGAGGGGUCGUUGGAAACUGAGUCGCUUGAGGCAGUGAGAGGGGUGUAGAAUUCCCGGUGUAGUGGUGGAAUGCGUAGAUAUCGGGAGGAAUACCAGAGGCGAAGGCGACACCCUGGCACUGAACUGACGCUCAUGUGCGAAAGCGUGGGGAGCGAACGGG